CUGAUGGGCUCCUGCCCCCACUCACCCUCAACAGGAGGACAGCAGGGGGAUCUGGAGUUUGUGCUUCUAAUCACCAGGCUACACUGCCCUGCUGGUGUGGGGGCCUGAAAGGAAUUUGUCCUGUGGGUCACUAUAAAGGAACAUUGGGCAACGUUGGGCUUCCACAGCCCGGAGCAAGGCCACAGUCAAUGGUAGCCUGGAGAAAUGUUCAAGGUGUUGUUGCCAACUGUCUACUGAUGUCACGAAAAAGCUCAAUGCAACAGCCCGGGAGUAUUUAGUUUUCAGUAGGCUAACUUAGGUGAGUCCUUGGCCACAAACAGUUGCAAAAUGCUGUUCUUCCGGGUCAUAAUAUCCUGCCAGAAGGAAUCCUGCCUCGCAACCAGAAAUCACCCAUCUGGGGAGAAUUCUCUGCUCCUUCUGCAACCUGAAAGGCAUCUAUCUACUGGAGGACGAGCCCCUCAGCUGGUAUUCAGAACACAUUUUACUUCCAUCAUGGCUGCCCCUUGUUUAAUUAUAGUGGUGACUUUGAAGAACAUUCUGGAAUACAUUUUAUCGUCCUAA
rnacentral:lncRNA from 1 species